GUUAUAAUUACUCAAACACCCUUACACUCAUUUUCCUUGACUAACGGCCCAAUGCUACCCAAAUUGGCGGUCUCCACCACCGAACCCUUUCAACCACCACAAACUACCAUCUCUCUAACCCUAAAAUAACAACAACUUCAAUAGUUCAAUUGAUUGUGAACCAGACUUCAUUCCUAAAUUGGGAUCAUCAGAUUAACGAAAUUAUACCGGAAAAAAUCGCCGGUUGCCGGAAUCUCACUUUCCCCGACCUAAUUUGAAGUGGUGAAGUACAAUUACGCGCCAUUACUGGAGAGAUUAAAGGAAAAUGAGAUGGUAAUUUGGUGAUGAUCUUGUGAUGCAGGUUGCAAAAAGGAGGAGAUUCCCAGGAUUGUAUCAUGUAUGUGAAUUUGUGUCUCCUUCAAUUCGGUAUUGGUACCUUUUCAGGAGAAACUUCAUGCCUGUCUGCUGUUGUUGGAAGUUCUCUCACCAGUCACUAAUGGUGACGAAGUCGAGUCAACGAUGGGCUGCCACCAGCCUAAUCUUCUUGACCAGGACUUUUGGUUGAGGAGGAAAUCACCUAUAUGCGUACAACUCCUUGGGCGAAGGAACUUUAUGUUGAAUAAGAUCAUUCAUUUUGAUAAUGUUAAUGAUGAGACGAUCAGGAUGUAUUAUUUUCCAUAUGAAGCAAAGAUCAGUUUGAAUACCUCGGUAAUUCCUCAGAACGAAGAACCUCAUGCCAGUACAUUUUCGUUGUCAAAUUCUGUGGUUUGUAAGUCUUAACAUAAUUACAUUUCUUCAUGGUUUACUAAGUGUUUUGAUCACAGCUAUGAUCCAAAAAUAUAGGUUAUGAACUUAGGAAAACAUAGUAAGUGAAGAUCCAUGCAUCAUUUGCCUGUCGUAUUUCCUUUUAAUUGCUAUGGACUUAUAGGUGUACGGGAAAUUCUACAUGGUAACCUCAUGGUUUUCCGUUUUCUACGUGGAAGACAAAGUUUUUUUCAGCUCUCUUUAGUGGCACUCUGGUUUCACUAAUUUGAUUUCAGUGGCCUAAUUAUCAUUAAACGGGCUAACCAACUUCAAAAUGGCUCAUUUUUUAACUGCAUUGCUCAAAAAGACUAACCUAUCCCUGAAUUAAUUGAUUCCCUCCUCUUUUUAUUAAUGGCCACUGCAAUUGUACUGUUUCCUCUUCCUUCAACCUCCACCAAAUCGCAAAACCUAACCUCCACGGAAUUCGCUCAAUCGUGGAGUUUCUUCAAAAAGGUUCUCACCAUGAAUUUUCGUGGAGUUUCUCCAAGGAAGAGGGGCGCAAUUGAUGGAAGUUAUAAUUGGGUAAGGAUGAAGCCCUGCAAUUGCAACCCUCCCAAAAACGCUAAGGUUAGGUUUUCAGAUUCCAUGAGCAAUCCAAAGAAGCCAUACUACAAAUGCAAGUCAGAGGUUGCGGAUUUUGGGUGACUGAAGAUGAUGUGAGUUUUUACGAUGCUUCACCAAAUUCUGAGAUUGCCGCAAUACAUAACAUGGUGGAAGACCUUUUUGUUUGCUGCAAGAGUCUUAUGAAGAUUGCUAUUAUCAUAUUAGUAAUUUGUGUCUUUUUUUACCUUAAAUGAUGUAAACAGGGUAAUGAAGGAAAGGGGAGUAUCAAGUAGUUCAAUCCUAAUUAAGUUAUGUGAUCAGGGUAGUGAUGCAAUUUGUAUGGGUUUUAUGAAUUGAAUGCAGUUAUGUAAUUCAACCAAGUAUAAAUAAAAACUCAGUUAUGGUA